UACAUGCAAGCCGAACGGUAAGUUGGGUAGCAAUAUCCAGCCAAGAGUGGCGUAAGGGUGCGUAACACGUAUGCAAUCUGCCCGUAACAGGAGGAUAGCUCCCCGAAAGGGGAAUUAAUACUUCAUAGAAUAGUGAUGCGGCAUCGCAUGACUAUUAAAGCUGAGGCGGUUACGGAUGAGCAUGCGGCUGAUUAGCUAGUUGGUGAGGUAACGGCUCACCAAGGCGAUGAUCAGUAGGGGAACUGAGAGGUUGAUCCCCCACACUGGCACUGAGAUACGGGCCAGACUCCUACGGGAGGCAGCAGUAGGGAAUAUUGGACAAUGGGUGAGAGCCUGAUCCAGCCAUGCCGCGUGCAGGAAGACGGCCUUCUGGGUUGUAAACUGCUUUUAUCUGGGGAUAAAAAGGCCUUGCGAGGCAAACUGAAGGUACCAGAUGAAUAAGCCACGGCUAACUACGUGCCAGCAGCCGCGGUAAUACGUAGGUGGCGAGCGUUGUCCGGAUUCAUUGGGUUUAAAGGGUGCGUAGGCGGCUGAUUAAGUCAGCAGUGAAAUACCCCGGCUUAACCGGGGGGGUGCUGUUGAUACUGGUCGGCUUGAGUGCUAGCGAGGCAGGCGGAAUUGACGGUGUAGCGGUGAAAUGCUUAUAUAUCGUCAAGAACACCGAUAGUGUAGACAGCUUGCCAGGGAGCAACUGACGCUGAGGCACGAAAGUGUGGGGGAUCA
rnacentral:rRNA from 1 species